GUGGAGUGUGAUCACGUCCCCCUUCAUCCCCAAGUACCUCUCGGCCCCACGCUGUGCCACCCUGCGUGGGCUCAUCUACCUCAUUGGGGACAACACCAAGAAGGUCCACGUGUACGACCCAGAGGCCAACAUCUGGCAGAAGGUGCAGCUCCUGCACACGCUUCAUGAGAAUGGUGGGAUGGUGCCACUGGGCGACCGACUCUUCGUCACCGGCGGCCACUGGAAGGGCAUAGAUGGGGACUACCGGGUGGAGAUGGAGGUGUAUGACUGCGCCAAGGACCUCUGGACGCGGGAGGGCUCCCUGCCCUGCCUCUGGCUCUUCCACAGCUCCUCCUCCAUCUUCAUGGACACCUCCAAGUGGACGGAGGCUUUCCAGGGUGACCAUGGGUGGUAGGAGAGCCCACAGCAUCGCCUGUCGCCCUGCGCAGCCGCUCUCCCCCUCUCGCCUCUCUCCCCACUGCCGGUUCAGCUCUGCAGUGGGGUAGAUGGAAACCCCUCUGCCGGGCUGGCUGGGGCGUCGGGAGUGUGUUCCCCACCCGCCACCGCAGGGAAAAGGCUUUUCCUUAUAAACACGCUUUGGCCAAUGCUCUC